AUGUAUUCACUUAACGUUGAUGAUGGUGAUGGCAGCUUGCAGUUGUCUGUUACUCAGUCUCAAAGUGUUGAUGGCACUAAGCCUGUUACCCAAGCUAAGGAUGUUCCUAUGCAGUUACAGCUCGAGGAUGAAAGGAUAAGAAAGAAGAAGUAUGAAUUCCAGAAGAGAAAGGAAUUGGAAUGGCGUCAAAAGGCUGCCUGUGUGCAAGAAAGUGAUGUUGAUGUUGCGCAAGCUCCUAAAUGUACAAACUUGAUGCAAACUCGUUUGACGCAAGUGUUUGAUCAUGAUGGAGUUAAGGAGAAGAAAGCUGUUUUGAAGAGGAAGAUGUCAGAUUGA
rnacentral:rRNA from 1 species